GACGAACGCUUGCGGUGUGCUUAACACAUGCAAGUCGAACGGUAAGGCCCUUUCGGGGGUACACGAGUGGCGAACGGGUGAGUAACACGUGAGUAACCUGCCCUCAUCUCUGGGAUAACAGUCGGAAACGGUUGCUAAUACUGGAUAUGAGCUUGCAAGGCAUCUUGUGGGUUGGAAAGAUUUUUUUUGGUUGGGGAUGGACUCGCGGCCUAUCAGCUUGUUGGUGAGGUAGUGGCUCACCAAGGCUUCGACGGGUAGCCGGCCUGAGAGGGCGACCGGCCACAUUGGGACUGAGAUACGGCCCAAACUCCUACGGGAGGCAGCAGUGGGGAAUAUUGCACAAUGGACGGAAGUCUGAUGCAGCAGCGCCGCGUGCGGGAUGACGGCCUUCGGGUUGUAAACCGCUUUCAAUUGUGACGAAGCUUUUUUGUGACGGUAGCAGUAGAAGAAGCACCGGCUAACUACGUG
rnacentral:rRNA from 1 species